ACCAAGGUUUUCCUUCACACCAGUGGGGGCAGGUGGGGUGAGCAUUUUGGGGUGCGUGGCUAGCAGUGAGAGGAGCUCCUUGUGCAUCUUCUUGUGCCAAGCCCUGUGCCGGGCACUUUGAGUAUCCAGUGACACACGUAUUCCCGAGUGAUUUCACUGAAUGACAAGAUGGACUCUAAAGUUCAAAGAGGUGAAGCAAUGGGCCCAAAGUCCCAGAAGACUCACUUUGUCUGAACCCACAGACAUUCCCUUUUUCAUCACACCAUGUUCAGCAAGACAGCAAGGACCAGGAAAGAAGUUGAAGCUGAUGGACCAGAUUCUGUGCAGUCUGCUGGACUCUCUCCCUUUGGUCCCACUGCCACCCCCACACUACUCUAAAGAAGCUUUGAUCCAUGGGGACUAGAAAGUUCAUGAGCUGGUGUUUUAGAAGUUGGACCCAAUUGGUAAAGAAAAUGCUGAUCCCUGGGCAAUUUCCCACACUGAAAUGAGAAGACUCUAGGAGAUGCAAGAAUGGGGGUAGAAAUGAAGAAUUUAGAUUAAAGCCAACUAAGUUCCAGAUGCAAUUGGUGUGGAGGUUCAAUCAGUCACAGGAAAAUCCCAUCACAAUGGCAGUCCUCUUCAAGAUGUUGGUCAUCUUCAGCAGACAACACCUAGAUGUAUCUGCAUUGUGGCCAUCACAGUGACUCCAGAAAUAAGU